rnacentral:rRNA from 1 species
GAUGAACGCUGGCGGUAUGCCUAACACAUGAUUAAAGGUAUUCCGGUAGACGAUGGGGAUGCGUUCCAUUAGAUAGUAGGCGGGGUAACGGCCCACCUAGUCUUCGAUGGAUAGGGGUUCUGAGAGGAAGGUCCCCCACAUUGGAACUGAGACACGGUCCAAACUCCUACGGGAGGCAGCAGUGAGGAAUAUUGGUCAAUGGGCGAGAGCCUGAACCAGCCAAGUAGCGUGAAGGAUGACUGCCCUAUGGGUUGUAAACUUCUUUUAUAAAGGAAUAAAGUCGGGUAUGUAUACCCGUUUGCAUGUACUUUAUGAAUAAGGAUCGGCUAACUCCGUG